AAGACGUGCGCAGGCGGUUAUAUAAGACAGAUGUGAAAUCCCCGGGCUCAACCUGGGAACUGCAUUUGUGACUGUAUAGCUGGAGUGCGGCAGAGGGGGAUGGAAUUCCGCGUGUAGCAGUGAAAUGCGUAGAUAUGCGGAGGAACACCGAUGGCGAAGGCAAUCCCCUGGGCCUGCACUGACGCUCAUGCACGAAAGCGUGGGGAGCAAACAGGAUUAGAUACCCCAGU
rnacentral:rRNA from 1 species